rnacentral:rRNA from 1 species
AUUGAACGCUGGCGGCAGGCAUAACACAUGCAAGUCGAACGAGUGGCGGACGGGUGAGUAAUGUCUGGGAAACUGCCGGAUGGAGGGGGAUAACUACUGGAAACGGUAGCUAAUACCGCAUAACAUAAGAUGGGCCCAGAUGGGAUUAGCUAGUUGGUGGGGUAACGGCUCACCAAGGCGACGAUCCCUAGCUGGGCUGAGAGGAUGACCAGCCACACUGGAACUGAGACACGGCCCAGACUCCUACGGGAGGCAGCAGUGGUGAAUAUUGGACAAUGGGCGCAAUCCUGAUGCAGCCAUGCCGCGUGUAUGAAGAAGGCCUUCGGGUUGUAAAGUACUUUGAGCUGUGAAGCGUUACCCGCAGAAUAAGCACCGGCUAACUCCGUGCCAGCCGCCGCGGUAAUAC